UUAAGCGACUAAGCGUACACGGUGGAUGCCCUGGCAGUCAGAGGCGAUGAAGGACGUGCUAAUCUGCGAAAAGCGUCGGUAAGGUGAUAUGAACCGUUAUAGCCGGCGAUGUCCGAAUGGGGAAACCCAGUGCAAUUCGUUGCACUAUCGUUAACUGAAUACAUAGGUUAACGAGGCGAACCGGGGGAACUGAAACAUCUAAGUACCCCGAGGAAAAGAAAUCAACCGAGAUUCCCCCAGUAGCGGCGAGCGAACGGGGAGCAGCCCGGAGUCUGAAUCAGCUUGUGUGUUAGUGGAAGCGUCUGGAAAGUCGCAGGGUACAGGGUGAUACUCCCGUACACUAAAACGCACAGGUUGUGAACUCGAAGAGUAGGGCGGGACACGUGGUAUCCUGUCUGAAUAUGGGGGGACCAUCCUCCAAGGCUAAAUACUCCUGACUGACCGAUAGUGAACCAGUACCGUGAGGGAAAGGCGAAAAGAACCCCGGCGAGGGGAGUGAAAAAGAACCUGAAACCGUGUACGUACAAGCAGUAGGAGCCCACUUGUUGGGUGACUGCGUACCUUUUGUAUAAUGGGUCAGCGACUUAUAUUCUGUAGCAAGGUUAACCGUAUAGGGGAGCCGCAGGGAAACCGAGUCUUAACUGGGCGUUAAGUUGCAGGGUAUAGACCCGAAACCCGGUGAUCUAGCCAUGGGCAGGUUGAAGGUUGGGUAACACUAACUGGAGGACCGAACCGACUAAUGUUGAAAAAUUAGCGGAUGACUUGUGGCUGGGGGUGAAAGGCCAAUCAAACCGGGAGAUAGCUGGUUCUCCCCGAAAGCUAUUUAGGUAGCGCCUCGUGAACUCAUCUUCGGGGGUAGAGCACUGUUUCGGCUAGGGGGUCAUCCCGACUUACCAACCCGAUGCAAACUACGAAUACCGAAGAAUGUUAUCACGGGAGACACACGGCGGGUGCUAACGUCCGUCGUGAAGAGGGAAACAACCCAGACCGCCAGCUAAGGUCCCAAAGUCAUGGUUAAGUGGGAAACGAUGUGGGAAGGCCCAGACAGCCAGCAUGUUGGCUUAGAAGCAGCCAUCAUUUAAAGAAAGCGUAAUAGCUCACUGGUCGAGUCGGCCUGCGCGGAAGAUGUAACGGGGCUAAACCAUGCACCGAAGCUGCGGCAGCGACACUAUGUGUUGUUGGGUAGGGGAGCGUUCUGUAAGCCGUUGAAGGUGGCCUGUGAGGGUUGCUGGAGGUAUCAGAAGUGCGAAUGCUGACAUAAGUAACGAUAAUGCGGGUGAAAAACCCGCACGCCGGAAGACCAAGGGUUCCUGUCCAACGUUAAUCGGGGCAGGGUGAGUCGACCCCUAAGGCGAGGCCGAAAGGCGUAGUCGAUGGGAAACAGGUUAAUAUUCCUGUACUCGGUGUUACUGCGAAGGGGGGACGGAGAAGGCUAUGUUGGCCGGGCGACGGUUGUCCCGGUUUAAGCAUGUAGGCGGAUGUUCCAGGUAAAUCCGGAACGUCACUAACGCUGAGGUGUGAUGACGAGGCACUACGGUGCUGAAGUGACAAAUGCCCUGCUUCCAGGAAAAGCCUCUAAGCAUCAGGUAACAUCAAAUCGUACCCCAAACCGACACAGGUGGUCAGGUAGAGAAUACCAAGGCGCUUGAGAGAACUCGGGUGAAGGAACUAGGCAAAAUGGUGCCGUAACUUCGGGAGAAGGCACGCUGAUGGUAAGUGAAGUGACUUGCUCAUGGAGCUGAAAUCAGUCGAAGAUACCAGCUGGCUGCAACUGUUUAUUAAAAACACAGCACUGUGCAAACACGAAAGUGGACGUAUACGGUGUGACGCCUGCCCGGUGCCGGAAGGUUAAUUGAUGGGGUUAUCCGUAAGGAGAAGCUCUUGAUCGAAGCCCCGGUAAACGGCGGCCGUAACUAUAACGGUCCUAAGGUAGCGAAAUUCCUUGUCGGGUAAGUUCCGACCUGCACGAAUGGCGUAAUGAUGGCCAGGCUGUCUCCACCCGAGACUCAGUGAAAUUGAACUCGCUGUGAAGAUGCAGUGUACCCGCGGCAAGACGGAAAGACCCCGUGAACCUUUACUAUAGCUUGACACUGAACACUGGUCCUUGAUGUGUAGGAUAGGUGGGAGGCUUUGAAGUGUGGACGCCAGUCUGCAUGGAGCCAUCCUUGAAAUACCACCCUUUAAUGGCUGGUGUUCUAACGUGGGCCCCUAAUCGGGGUUGCGGACAGUGUCUGGUGGGUAGUUUGACUGGGGCGGUCUCCUCCUAAAGAGUAACGGAGGAGCACGAAGGUCAGCUAAUCCUGGUCGGACAUCAGGAGGUUAGUGCAAUGGCAUAAGCUGGCUUGACUGCGAGCGUGACGGCGCGAGCAGGUGCGAAAGCAGGUCAUAGUGAUCCGGUGGUUCUGAAUGGAAGGGCCAUCGCUCAACGGAUAAAAGGUACUCCGGGGAUAACAGGCUGAUACCGCCCAAGAGUUCAUAUCGACGGCGGUGUUUGGCACCUCGAUGUCGGCUCAUCACAUCCUGGGGCUGAAGUAGGUCCCAAGGGUAUGGCUGUUCGCCAUUUAAAGUGGUACGCGAGCUGGGUUUAGAACGUCGUGAGACAGUUCGGUCCCUAUCUGCCGUGGGCGCUGGAGAAUUGAGGGGGGCUGCUCCUAGUACGAGAGGACCGGAGUGGACGCAUCACUGGUGUUCGGGUUGUCAUGCCAAUGGCAUUGCCCGGUAGCUAAAUGCGGAAGAGAUAAGUGCUGAAAGCAUCUAAGCACGAAACUUGCCCCGAGAUGAGUUCUCCCUGACUCCUUGAGAGUCCUGAAGGAACGUUGAAGACGACGACGUUGAUAGGCCGGGUGUGUAAGCGCAGCGAUGCGUUGAGCUAACCGGUACUAAUGAACCGUGAGGCUUAACCU
rnacentral:rRNA from 1 species